rnacentral:rRNA from 1 species
UACGGAGGGAGCUAGCGUUGUUCGGAAUUACUGGGCGUAAAGCGUGCGCAGGCGGUUCUAUAAGACAGAUGUGAAAUCCCCGGGCUCAACCUGGGAACUGCAUUUGUGACUGUAGAGCUGGAGUGCGGCAGAGGGGGAUGGAAUUCCGCGUGUAGCAGUGAAAUGCGUAGAUAUGCGGAGGAACACCGAUGGCGAAGGCAAUCCCCUGGGCCUGCACUGACGCUCAUGCACGAAAGCGUGGGGAGCAAACAGG